rnacentral:tRNA from 1 species
GGGAUKGUAGUUCAAUUGGUUAGAGCACCGCCCUGUCAAGGCGGAAGUUGCGGGUUC